GUUGAGACGUUGUAGAGAUACAACGAAAUCUAGGCGACGCGUUUCAAAAAUAAGCAGAAUUAAAUUUACAUCAACAUUAUUCGUGYAUACAUACAUACAGUCAAUACAAAAAGAUAAUUGAAAGCGCAAAAAAAUGCCGCUAGAUACCGAAAGCACCGCGCUCUUGAGCAAAGAACAACUCAAAUCCAACGGUAACGACAAUGAACACAAGAAGGAACAAUCGAAAUCCCAAUCGCAUUACAUCGAGGUUGUGGAGAAACCAAUAUAUAACGGUUAUACAACCAUACUAGGGGAGGAAGACUUCUCCGCUAGCCUAACUCUGGAAGAACUGCUGCCCUUUAUCAACGAUUCGUGGUGGCAAAAACUGCGGCGCACACUCUUCUGCACAUUCUGCUUGGUGUUUUGGCUGAUUUUAUUCACCGGCUGUAUGCUUGCCUAUAUGGAGCGUAAUAAACAAUGUGGCAUAUUGAUCGCAAGAGCAACAACACCAACUAAUACGAGUACGUUGACAGCAGCCACUCUACAAAGUAUUUAAAAGCUGAUAAGCGCGGCUAAUUUACAUAGAAUUUUUGCUUUGCUUUACGGCCGACUUUCGUUUUGACAGAAAAGUUCGAUGUACGAUUUGGUAUAAGACAGUUGACAUAAAAAGUUUUCGAGAAACACUAUAAUCAAAGCGUUCGUUAUGGCAUACCAUUUGUUUUCUGUGCUUCGUUAUUUUAGUGUCACGCAAAGCGCAAAAGAAGUUGUAUGUGAAUGGGCCUUUAUAGUCUUAUCUUCAUAAGUAAAGCGGGAGAUUUUCAAAUUUGGAAAGGAAGUGCCUAGUUUCUCGCUUUAUGAUUUUUUAUUUUUAGUUUGAAAAGUGUUUGUCAUAACUUACCGAAGUCGCACACCUAUUAUAAUCAUUAAAAAUGGACGGAAAGUGUAUAAUAAUGCAAUGUAUUUUUUAAGCCUUGUCCGCGAACUUUAAAAAAAAUGGAGCCACUGGUAAAUACCAGAG